CGUUGAAAUACCAGUUCCCAUACGAUUACCGAAGUUAAGCAACGUCAAGUCUUGUCAGUAGCUAGAUGGGUGACCGCUUGCGAAUGCCAGGUACUGUAAU